AUAACUGGCUUGUGGCGGCCAAGCGUUCAUAGCGACAUCGUUUUUUGACUUUUCGAUGUCAGCUCUUCCUAUCAGUGUAAUGCAGAAUUCACCUAGUGCUGGAUUGUUCACCCGCUAAUAUGGACCGUGAUCUGGGUUAAGACCGUCGUGUGAUAGGUU
rnacentral:ncRNA from 1 species